AUACCUCAUUUUUUAUAAUACAUCUACUUGCACAAAUCUCGAAGUACUCCAUCCUAUAUUAUUCAUCUACUUGAAUUUCGAAGUGCUCCAUUUUUUGUUAUCCAUCUACUUGCACGAAUCUCAAAGUCACCCAUUCUUCAUCAUUCAUCCAUUUGUACAGAUUUCAAAACAGUCUAUCCUCCACCAUCCAUCCAGAUUUUAAAGCAUUUUAUUAUUUGUCAUUCAUUUGCUUACAC
rnacentral:lncRNA from 1 species